CUUCCUAUUCGAAGAAAAAGGAGGAGAUGCCAUCUGGCAAAUUCGAGGUCCUUCCAAAGUGCCUACGGAAAGCUUUGUCCCAUCCUUGAAAAAUUGCUAAUGGGUUUGGAGAUACGAGGUGGAGAUGACUAGCAAUCAAACUCAAAGGUGGAAGUCACAUCGAGGCAGAUGAGCAGAUGAGGGGACCUAGAGAAGAAGAGAGGUGCAAGGAGAGCCCAGCCAGCAGGAACAUCUGCCCCAGUAGGCAGCACUGCCCCACAUCAGAGUCGAGGAAAGCAAAGCUCGGAUUGGAUAAAAGAAACUUGCAAACACGGUCAGUGCUUACUGCAUGUGGGCUCAGAGCACGUUACCCUCCUUCCCUGCAUGUUCCUGUGAAACGGGUUUACUGCUCUAACUCUCAGGGACACUGUGAAGACCAAACGAGAAAAUAGAAACAAACAUAAUUUAUAAACCAUAAAGUACUGACACCAAAAGAGGGGCGAGCACAGCAUUGUGAAUGUGCUGGUACUAAAUGGUUUGUUUUAAGAUGAUUUUAUGGUGUGUGAAUUUCACUUGAAUAAAUUUUUUUAAUGGA
ensembl:lncRNA DENND3-AS1 DENND3 antisense RNA 1